rnacentral:rRNA from 1 species
UAGGGAAUCUUCGGCAAUGGACGAAAGUCUGACCGAGCAACGCCGCGUGAGUGAAGAAGGUUUUCGGAUCGUAAAACUCUGUUGUUAGAGAAGAACAAGGACGUUAGUAACUGAACGUCCCCUGACGGUAUCUAACCAGAAAGACACGGCUAACUACGUGCCAGCAGCCGCGGUAAUACGUAGGUGGCAAGAGUUGUCCGGAUUUAUUGGGCGUAAAGCGAGCGCAGGCGGUUUCUUAAGUCUGAUGUGAAAGCCCCCGGCUCAACAGGGGAGGGUCAUGGGAAACUGGGAGACUUGAGUGCAGAAGAGGAGAGUGGAAUUCCAUGUGUAGCGGUGAAAUGCGUAGAUAUAUGGAGGAACACCAGUGGCGAAGGCGGCUCUCUGGUCUGUAGCUGACGCUGAGGCUCGAAAGCGUGGGGAGCAAACAGG